rnacentral:rRNA from 1 species
UUUAACAUGAGAGUUUGAUCCUGGCUCAGGAUGAACGCUGGCGGCGUGCUUAACACAUGCAAGUCGAACGAAGCAAUUUUCUACGAUCCCUUCGGGGUGACGGAUUAUUGACUGAGUGGCGGACGGGUG